rnacentral:rRNA from 1 species
AUUGAACGCUGGCGGCAUGCUUUACACAUGCAAGUCGAACGGUAACAGGGAGCUUUCUCCGCUGACGAGUGGCGAGCGGGUGAGUAAUAUAUCGGAACGUACCCAAGCUUGGGGGAUAACGUAGCGAAAGUUACGCUAAUACCGCAUACGAUCUAUUGAUGAAAGCAAUGGACCUUUGGUCCUUGUGCGCCUGGCGCGGCCCAUAUCUGAGUAGCUCGUUGGUGAGGUAAAUGCUCACCAAGGCGACGAUCAGUAGCUGAGCUGAGAGGACGACCGGCCACACUGGAACUGAGACACGGUCCAGACUCCUACGGGAGGCAGCAGUGGGGAAUUUUGGACAAUGGGCGAAAGCCUGAUCCAGCAAUGCCGCGUGAGUGAAGAAGGCCUUCGGGUUGUAAAACUCUUUUGUCAGGGAAGAACCGGCUGUGGCUAAUAUACACGGCUAAUGACGGUACCUGAAGAAUAAGCAACGGCUAACUACGUG